GACGAACGCUGGCGGCGUGCUUAACACAUGCAAGUCGAACGGAAAGGCCUUGCUUUCGUGGUGUGCUGGGGGGGCGCACGUGUGAGUAACACGUGAGUCACGUGCGCUUUACUUUGGGAUAAUUGCAGGAAACUGGGGCUACUGCCGCUUAUGACCUCCUGCUGCAUGGUGUGGUGUGGAUAGUUUCGGCGGUUGGGGUUGGAGUCGCGGCUUAUCUGCUUGGUGGUGGGGUAGUUGCUUGGCAAGUCGUCGACGGAUGGCGGGCCUGCGAGGUGGACCGGCGACAUUGGGACGAAGAUACGGCCCAGACGCCGACGGGAGGAAGCAGUGGGGAAUAGUGCACAAUGGGCGGAAGCCUGAUGCAGCAACGCCGCGUGCGGGAUGACGGCCUUCGGGUUGUAAACCGCUUGCGACUGUGACGAAGCGGUAGUGACGGUAAUGGGUAAAGAAGCACCGGCUAACUACGUG
rnacentral:rRNA from 1 species